UAGUUGGAUUUCUGGACGAAGCUGUCGGUCCGCCGCUGUGCGCUGUGUACUUGAUCAGCCUUCGUUCAUCCUUGCAGGGAAGCGCAUUUCGGCAUUCAGUUGUCGGGGCGGGGAACUGCAUCUUUUACUGUGAAAAAAUUAGAGUGUUUAAAGCAGGCAUUUUGCUGUGAAUACAUUAGCAUGGAAUAAUAACAUAGGACCUCGGUUCUAUUUUGUUGGUUGGAGACCAAGGUAAUGAUUAAUAGGGACAGUUGGGGGUAUUCAUAUUUAAUUGUCAGAGGUGAAAUUCUUGGAUUUAUGAAAGAUGAACUCAUGCGAAAGCAUUUACCAAGGAUGUUUUCAUUAAUCAAGAACGAAAGUUAGGGGAUCGAAGAGGAUUAGAUACCCUCGUAGUCUUAACCAUAAACUAUGCCGACUAGGGAUGGAGGACGUACAUUUUUGGCUCCUUCAGCACCUUACGAGAAAUCAAAGUCUUUGGGUUCCGGGGGGAGUAUGGUCGCAAGGCUGAAACUUAAAGGAAUUGACGGAAGGGCACCACCAGGAGUGGAGCCUGCG
rnacentral:rRNA from 1 species